GGUUUAUUGGAUCGUAAUCGUUAAAUGGAUAACUGUAAUAACUCUAGAGCUAAUACAUGCCACGAAGCCCUGACCUCGGGCGCCUCACGCGGGCGUUCGGGGAAUGGGUGCACUUAUUAGAUCAGAAGCCAACCAGCGCUUGCAUGGGCAACUGUGCAGGCGCUGUAGCACUUCUGGUGACUCUGGAUAAUUGUUACAGAUCGCAGUCGGCUUUACGUCGGCGACGGAUCCUUCAAAUGUCUGCCCUAUCAUACCUUCGAUGGUAGGUGACCUGCCUACCAUAGUGAUAACGGGUAACGGGGAAUCAGGGUUCGAUUCCGGAGAGGGAGCCUGAGAAACGGCUACCACUUCCAAGGGAGGCAGCAGGCGCGCAAAUUACCCACUCCCGGCACGGGGAGGUGGUGACGAAAAAUACCGAUGCGGGACUCAUUUAARAGGCUCCGUAAUCGGAAUGAGUGGACUCUAAAUCCUUUCACGAGGAUCAAUUGGAGGGCAAGUCUGGUGCCAGCAGCCGCGGUAACUCCAGCUCCAAUAGCGUAUAUUAAAGUUGCUGCAGUUAAAAAGCUCGUAGUUGGAUCUCGGUAGCAUUGUUGCCUGCUUAGUUGUCGUGUGCCAUAGCGUACAGCUUGUUGUGCAGGCCUCGGGCUCAGGGCCUGUGUGUGUGUGUUGGAUGGCAGCGGUGUGCUUCGCGCCGCCGRCGUCGCCACUGCACACACAGUGUUCUGGCGCCUUGGGGUUGCAUGGCGGUUGUGCAUAUAAACUGUGGCAUAUUGAGCUGGCAUGGCGACGGUGUCACCUUUGAGCCAUGUCUGUGGUGUAAAAGCCGCAGUGUAGAUGAGUGUCAGACAGUGUGCCGCACUCGUUGUGGGACCCUCGUCGG
rnacentral:rRNA from 1 species